UACGUAGGGUGCAAGCGUUAAUCGGAAUACUGGGCGUAAAGCGUGCGCAGGCGGUUGUGUAAGACAGGCGUGAAAAUCCCCGGGCUCAACCUGGGAAUGGCGCUUGUGACUGCACAACUGGAGUGCGGCAGAGGGGGAUGGAAUUCCGCGUGUAGCAGUGAAAUGCGUAGAUAUGCGGAGGAACACCGAUGGCGAAGGCAAUCCCCUGGGCCUGGCACUGACGCUCAUGCACGAAAGCGUAGGGGAGCGAAACAAGGAUGAUGAUAC
rnacentral:rRNA from 1 species